AAGUAUGAAGAAAUGCCUAAAGGAAAUAUUCCUCUCCCUUAUCCCUAUGAUAGACUAAAGCUAAGAUAGAGUCUGGAAAAAAGUAUACAAAUUGAAGUCUUGAGGUCAAGGGUAUACUGUAUCCCUGUUUUCACAUAUUUUACACAGGAGACACUAUGUUGAAAUGUCAACCCAAACCAAAUUGUUUUAUUGCUUGUUAGGAAGUAAAAUGAAUGUGCGCAGUUUUUAUUUCUGUCCGUUAGAUGACUCUGAAGAUGAGAACUUCAUGUGAUA